rnacentral:rRNA from 1 species
CAGCCGCCGCGGUAAUACAUAGGUGGCAAGCGUUGUCCGGAAUUAUUGGGCGUAAAGGGCUCGCAGGCGGGUUCUUAAGUCUGAUGUGAAAGCCCCCGGCUCAACCGGGGAGGGUCAUUGGAAGCUGGGAAACUUGAGUGCAGAAGAGGAGAGUGGAAUUCCACGUGUAGCGGUGAAAUGCGUAGAGAUGUGGAGGAACACCAGUGGCGAAGGCGACUCUCUGGUCUGUAACUGACGCUGAGGAGCGAAAGCGUGGGGAGCGAACAGGAUUAGAUACCCCAGUAGUCCCUGUCUCUUAUAA